rnacentral:rRNA from 1 species
UACGUAGGGGGCAAGCGUUGUCCGGAAUCAUUGGGCGUAAAGAGCGUGUAGGCGGCCCGGUAAGUCCGCUGUGAAAGUCCAGGGCUCAACCCUGGAAUGCCGGUGGAUACUGUCGGGCUAGAGUCCGGAAGGGGCGAGUGGAAUUCCUGGUGUAGCGGUGAAAUGCGUAGAUAUCGUGAGGAAGACCAGUGGCGAAGGCGGGUCUCUGGACAGUUCCUGACGCUGAGGCGCGAAGGCCAGGGGAGCAAACGGG